rnacentral:rRNA from 1 species
CUACGGGUCGCACCAGUGAGGAAUAUUGGUCAAUGGGCGUAAGCCUGAACCAGCCAUCCCGCGUGCAGGAAGACGGCGCUAUGCGUUGUAAACUGCUUUUCCAGGGAAAGAAAACCCCCGACGUGUCGGGGCUUGCCGGUACCCUGGGAAUAAGCAUCGGCUAACUCCGUGCCAGCAGCCGCGGUAAUACGGAGGAUGCAAGCGUUAUCCGGAUUUAUUGGGUUUAAAGGGUGCGUAGGCGGAUUAAUAAGUCAGUGGUGAAAACCUUCAGCUUAACUGGAGACUUGCCAUUGAUACUGUUAGUCUUGAGUACGGUCAAGGUAGGCGGAAUGUGUAAUGUAGCGGUGAAAUGCUUAGAUAUUACACAGAACACCGAUUGCGAAGGCAGCUUACUGGGCCAUUACUGACGCUGAGGCACGAAAGCGUGGGGAGCGAACAGGAUUAGAUACCCGCGUAGUC